rnacentral:rRNA from 1 species
CUUAACAUGCAAGUCGAACGGCAGCGCGGGGCAACCUGGCGGCGAGUGGCGAACGGGUGAGUAAUAUAUCGGAACGUACCCUGGAGUGGGGGAUAACGUAGCGAAAGUUACGCUAAUACCGCAUACGAUCUAAGGAUGAAAGUGGGGGAUCGCAAGACCUCAUGCUCCUGGAGCGGCCGAUAUCUGAUUAGCUAGUUGGUGGGGUAAAGGCCUACCAAGGCAUCGAUCAGUAGCUGGUCUGAGAGGACGACCAGCCACACUGGAACUGAGACACGGUCCAGACUCCUACGGGAGGCAGCAGUGGGGAAUUUUGGACAAUGGGCGCAAGCCUGAUCCAGCAAUGCCGCGUGAGUGAAGAAGGCCUUCGGGUUGUAAAGCUCUUUUGUCAGGGAAGAAACGGUGGGGGCUAAUAUCUCCUGCUAAUGACGGUACCUGAAGAAUAAGCACCGGCUAACUACGUACCAGCAGCCGCGGUAAUACGUAGGGUGCAAGCGUUAAUCGGAAUUACUGGGCGUAAAGCGUGCGCAGGCGGUUUUGUAAGUCUGUCGUGAAAUCCCCGGGCUCAACCUGGGAAUUGCGAUGGAGACUGCAAGGCUAGAAUCUGGCAGAGGGGGGUAGAAUUCCACGUGUAGCAGUGAAAUGCGUAGAGAUGUGGAGGAACACCGAUGGCGAAGGCAGCCCCCUGGGUCAAGAUUGACGCUCAUGCACGAAAGCGUGGGGAGCAAACAGGAUUAGAUACCCUGGUAGUCCACGCCCUAAACGAUGUCUACUAGUUGUCGGGUUUUAAUUAACUUGGUAACGCAGCUAACGCGUGAAGUAGACCGCCUGGGGAGUACGGUCGCAAGAUUAAAACUCAAAGGAAUUGACGGGGACCCGCACAAGCGGUGGAUGAUGUGGAUUAAUUCGAUGCAACGCGAAAAACCUUACCUACCCUUGACAUGUACGGAAGCCACGAGAGAUCGAGGUGUGCUCGAAAGAGAGCCGUAACACAGGUGCUGCAUGGCUGUCGUCAGCUCGUGUCGUGAGAUGUUGGGUUAAGUCCCGCAACGAGCGCAACCCUUGUCAUUAGUUGCUACGAAAGGGCACUCUAAUGAGACUGCCGGUGACAAACCGGAGGAAGGUGGGGAUGACGUCAAGUCCUCAUGGCCUCUUAUGGGUAGGGCUUCACACGUCAUACAAUGGUACAUACAGAGGGCCGCCAACCCGC